rnacentral:tRNA from 1 species
GGAUUGUGGCUCAGAGGUAGAGCGCUCAUCUAACACGUCUGAGGCCCUGGGUUCGAUCCUCAGCACCA